GACGAACGCUGGCGGCGUGCUUAACACAUGCAAGUCGAACGGAAAGGCCCUGCUUUUGUGGGGUGCUCGAGUGGCGAACGGGGGAGUAACACGUGAGUAACCUGCCCUUGACUUUGGGAUAACUUCAGGAAACUGGGGCUAAUACCGGAUAGGAGCUCCUGCUGCAUGGGGGGGGUUGGAAAGUUUCGGCGGUGGGGGAUGGACUCGAGGCUUAUCAGCUUGUUGGUGGGGUAGUGGCUUACCAAGGCUAUGACGGGUAGCCGGCCUGAGAGGGUGACCGGCCACCUGGGUCCUGCGGUACGGCCCAGUCUCCUACGGGAGGCAGCAGUGGGGAAUAUUGCACAAUGGGCGGAAGCCUGAUGCAGCGACCCCGCGUGCGUGAUGCCGGGCUUCGGGUUGUAAACCGCUUUCGCCUGUGACGAAGCGUGAGUGACGGUAAUGGGUAAAAAAGCACCGGCUAACUACGUG
rnacentral:rRNA from 1 species